ensembl:lncRNA
CGCCAGCGCCCAAUGGGGCGGAGUUUGGCUGCGUGGGGCGGCUGUGCCCCACGGCGCUGCCCCACCGACCGCGCCCUCCACGGGAAUCUGCCCCAUAGCGCCGCCUCUGCCCCACAGCAACGGGUCUGCCCCAUAGCAGUGGGUCUGCCCCAUAGCGCUGGGUGUGACCCAUAGCAGUGGGUCUGCACCAUAGCAUUGCCUCUGCCCCACAGCACCGGGUCUGCCCCAUAGCACCGGGUGUGACCCAUAGCGCCGGGUGUGACCCAUAGCAGUGGGUCUGCCCUAUAGUGCUGCAUCAGCCCUAUAGUGCUGGCUCUGCCCCAUAGCACCGGGUCUGCCCCACAGCAAUGGCUGUGACCCAUAGCGCCGCCUCUGCCCCAUAGCACCAGAUGUGACCCAUAGCGCCGCCUCUGCCCCAUAGCACCAGGUGUGACCCAUAGUGCUGGGUGUGACCCAUAGCAGUGGGUCUGCCCCAUAGCACCAGGUGUGACCCAUAGCAGUGGGUCUGCCCCACAGCGCUGGGUGUGACCCAUAGCAGUGGGUCUGCCCCAUAGCGCUGGGUGUGGCCCAUAGCACUGGGUCUGCCCCAUAGCGUUGCCGCUGCCCCACAGCAACGGGGGUGACCCAUAGCGCUGCCCCUGCCCCAUAGCACUGGGUCUGCCCCAUAGCGCUGGGUGUGACCCAUAGCGCUGCCUCUGCCCCACAGCAAUGGGUGUGGCCCAUAGCGCUACCUCUGCCCUAUAGCGCUGGGUGUGACCCAUAGCGCUACCUCUGCCCCACAGCAAUGGGUGUGACCCAUAGCGCUACCUCUGCCCCAUAGCACUGCGUCUGCCCCAUAGCGCUGGGUGUGACCCAUAGCAGUGGGUCUGCCCUAUGGUGUUGCAUCUGCCCUAUAGUGCCGGGUCUGCCCCAUAGCACUGCAUCUGCCCCAUAGCAAAGGGUGGGACCCAUAGCAGUGGGUCUGCCCUAUAGUGCUGCAACUGCCCCAUAGCGCUGGGUCUGCCCCAUAACCUCUCCUACGAGGAGCUCUGCCCCAUAACCUCCCCCACGUGGGGCUCUGCCCCAUAGCGUAACCACGGAACACCAUCACACUAUGGGCUCUGCCCCAUAACCUCCACCAUGUGGGGCUCUGCCCCAUAGCGUAACCACGGAACACCAUCACAGUAUGGGCUCUGCCCCAUAACCUCCGCCAUGUGGGGCUCUGCCCCAUAGCGUAACCACGGAACACCAUCACACUAUGGGCUCUGCCCCAUAACCUCCCUCACGUGGCGCUCUGCCCCAUAGCGUAACCACUGGACCCCAUCACACUAUGGGCUCUGCCCCAUAACCUCCUCCAUGUGGGGCUCUGCCCCAUAGCACAACCACAGGACCCCAUCACACUAUGGGCUCUGCCCCAUAACUCCCCCAUGUAAGGCUCUGCCCCAUAGCGUAACCACCGGACUCCAUCACACUAUGGGCUCUGCCCCAUAACCUCCCCCACGUGGGGCUCUGCCCCAUAGCGUAACCACCGGACCCCAUCACAGUAUGAGCUCUGCCCCAUAACCUCCCCCACGUGGGGCUCUGCCCCAUAACCUCCCCCAUGUGGGGCUCUGCCCCAUA